UGGGUGACCUGCCCUCAGCUCUGGGAUAAGCCUGGGAAACUGGGUCUAAUACCGGAUAUGACUCCUCAUCGCAUGGGUGGGGGGUGGAAAGCUUUAUUGUGGUUUGGAUGGACUCGCGGCCUAUCAGCUUGUUGGUGAGGUAAUAGCUCACCAAGGCGAUGGACGGGUAGCCGGCCUGAGGAGGGUCGACCCGGCCACACGUGGGACUGAGACACGGCCCAGACCUCCGUACGGGAGCAG
rnacentral:rRNA from 1 species